AGAGGCAGUGCACCCUUAGGCGUAGCACCUGCACCGCCCUGCCCUGGGGAGGCGACCCCGAGUACCCACGCGGGACACUGGCCAAGGACAUCCGCCAGACAGUGAUAAAGACAGGACCUGGUGUCUUAACCGGAGCAAAAGACUUUCAAGCUGAAUGAGGCUGAAUGAGCAUAGAAGGGGUAAGGGGGAAGAGGAAACACUUGCGAUAAAAUAGGGAAGAAGUAAAGCCACCUCUGCCAAGAAAGCCAGCUUCUCACUGAAGCUCUCCUGAUUGGGGAGUGUUCCUAAGAGAAUCAGCCUCUGCCAGGAGAUGGAAGUGGCUUAUUUUGAAGACAACAACCUCACACGUGUGUGUCCCUGUAUAUCCGGGACCCCCAGCUAAAUGUCAGCUCCUUGCUCAGAGAACCUGUGAUUGGAAUUCUCUGGGGGGAAAUGUUCCAAACGAAUCAAUUAACACCACCAGCAGAGAGUUCAAUACCACUGUACAGGGACCCAGCUUUGUAUUAGUGCAUGAAUGAAUUACUGGUACUCAUGUCAUUUGCAAAUAACCAUCAUUAUAGCGCAGUGGAAAAUUCCCCCUACCCAUUUAGUCUGAGUAGCACCUUAGCAGAGCAUUGCAAUAACCCUCAUGGUCCCUCCAAAAUAUUUGCACAUAUAUGUUCAGAUUAAGCUCCAAUAGUUUAAUAUGAGAGUAUCUAUUUGGACACAAGGUCACCCCUUACACUCAUUAAACCAAUCUGAAUGAGGUCUGAUAACUCUUAAGGGAAAUCAGCACUUAAAAUGCUUUCGACUUUUUGGAGACACGGAUGGAAUAUAUCAGCAGGCUUCACUCAGCAUGAGACAGCUCUGAAAACUCCAGAAAGGACAUAUCGCCAUCCCACCCCACCCUCAGAGUCGUUCUUCACACAUCUAAGGCUUGUGGUGGGUGUGAAUUUAAUGUAAAGGAUGGAGGGAGUGGAGAACUUUACAGAAAAAGUGUGUUUCUUCUGACCAAAUCUGAUCUGAGUCAAUUUUUCUGCUGAUUCCUCCUACCCAGUGGGAAUUUUAAAAAAAUCCAUAACUAGCACAUUUUGUGUUCUAAAUGACAUGAAUAAAAUGAUCCAGAGCUGUGGAGAUAACUCAGUGGGUAAUUGUGCUUGCUUUCAAUGAAAGCAAGGAGUACUUAUUGGAGUCCAAAUUCUCCAAACCUAGAGAAAAGAAAUUCUAGGCUUAGUCAUGUAUCUGUAACUCUACCUUUUUGCAGGCAUUGGGGUGGAUAUAGGCAGAUAUCUGGGACUUGAUGGCCAGCCAUCCUGAGCAGCUUUAGGCUAAAUGAGAUACCUACUGUGUCCCAAAGGGUAAGAAGGCAGGUAGUGGGGAAAGAACCCCUGAAGUCUCCCUUUGGCAUAUAUACUCAUAGACAUGCACCUGUCCCUGGACACACAGACAACUCGAGUGCACACACACACACACACACACACACACACAUUGGAAAAUAGGUUGAAGGAGCUGUGGUAGCAACUCAGAUGAAAAAAAAAACUAGGUUUUACACUUAAUUUGCUUUUUGAAAGCAUUUCUAAAAGCCUUAAUCUUCAUGUAUGAAGCAACACUUGAACCCCUCCCUGGUUUUGAAGAAUAGCCUUAGGUUUAGAACAGGUGAAUAAAGUAGUGUUUUCCUAAAGGAGUUAUGUCAGGAUGGCUUUAUGUUUCCUUGUUAAAAUCCAGCGAGGAGAACUUGAAAGUAGACACUAGGAACAGCCUUCUCAGCAUACUCCUACUUCACUGACAUAAGUGACUCUUGAGCUUCAACCUAAGGACGUGGGAAUAAUAACGGCUUCAUAGUCGGAUAAUGGUAAUUAGCACACAAAAGUUGAGUUAAUUACCAUGAAGGUUAUGACACAGACUGACAGACAGAGUCAAAGUAAACUACAAGCCUUCCACCCCAGUCAAGACUCUAAAAAGGGACCGUACAACUCCCACUGAAUUUAGACAUAAAGCACAAUUGAAAUCAAUCACCUUUCUCCCUCCAUCCUUAUUUCUAGACUUUUAAUUUCGUUGUAUGAAAUUCAAGAACAAUAGCUCUAGCAGUGUAUAUUUUGAUAAAGUAUGUAUAGUUGAUUUUCAUUGUUCUUGGUGAUUACAUGCCAUAAAGAUGCUGCACAUAAUGAAAUGUUCCCAGUAAAAAAAAAGAGAGGUAAGUUCCAGAGUCCCUCUGUAAAAGCAUCUUUAUUAACUGAUCAGCACAUAAUCUCAUUUUCUGAAAGCUUCUGGUAGAUACUCUGUUUAGUAUGUGUUAUUGUUUCCCGAACACUCAGCUUCCCUCGCAGCACUAUAGCCUUUGCCUCACAGAGCUUGUUAUCCAAAGCUUGUAUUUUCUGUGCAAAGCAUUGCAGCCUUUUUAGGAACUCCAGGAAACACAGUAUGUGUGGGGGUCAUUUUGAACAGCAAAAUUGCCAAAGAACAUUCUAAAAUAGCUAGCGGUAAUC
rnacentral:lncRNA from 1 species